GCUGGCGGCGUGCUUAACACAUGCAAGUCGAACGCGCAGCAUUCUGUAGCAAUACAGGGUGUGGGCGCGUGGCGAACGGGUGCGUAACACGUGGAUAACCUUCCUUGAGGUGGGGAAUAACCCAGUGAAAAUUGGGCUAAUACCGCAUAACAUCGCGAUGGCACAUGCUGAUGCGAUCAAAGGCGCAAGUCGCCACAAGAGGGAUCCGCGGCCGAUUAGCUUGUUGGCGAGGUAAUGGCUCACCAAGGCAAUGAUCGGUAGCCGGACUGAGAGGUUGGCCGGCCACACUGGAACUGAGACACGGUCCAGACUCCUACGGGAGGCAGCAGUGGGGAAUCUUGCACAAUGGACGAAAGUCUGAUGCAGCAACGCCGCGUGGGGGAUGAAGCUUCUCGGAGUGUAAACCCCUUUCGACCCGGAAGAAUGCCCGCAAGGGCUAUGACGGUACGGGUAUAAGAAGCCCCGGCUAACUACGUGCCAGCAGCCGCGGUAAUACGUAGGGGGCCAGCGUUGCUCGGAAUUACUGGGCGUAAAGGGUCCGUAGGCGGUGUAGCAAGUCGAUAGUGAAAUCUCUGGGCUUAACCCA
rnacentral:rRNA from 1 species